UUGCCACUCAGCCAGGACUCGAACCGGCGAUUGUUGGACUGGUAGUCCGACACUUUACCGACUGAACCAUACAGCA